ensembl:lncRNA
ACCUCAAGUAUGCAUCAAGAAGAAGACGCAGAAGAAGACGCUCUUCCGCCUGCUGUUUUGGUUGUGAUUCCCGUCGUCUGGUCUACCUGGUUAAGGUGAGGCUGCUGGGAUCAGAAAGAUCAAACACCAUGGCUAAAGUGAGCAUAGAAACGAGACACAAGGUGGUGAGCCUGCGCCAGCAAGGUCUCUCACAGGCGGAAAUCUCGCGUCAGACAGGUGUUUCCAAACGUGCUGUCCAAGCUCUUCUGCAGAAGCACAAAAAAACGGGUACGGUUGAAGAUCAGAAACGCAGCGGCCGACCGAGGAAGCUGAGUAAAGCGGACGAAAGACUCAUUAAGCUGACUUUCCUGGAGAAUCGGACCAUGUCCAGUAGCGCCAUCACCUCAGAGCUGGCGGUGACCAGCGGCACUCUGGUGGACCCAUCCACCGUGCGGAGAUGUUUGGCCAGGAGCGGUCUUAAUGGGAGGAGAGGGAGCAAAAAGCAGGUCCAGAUGUGUGAAUCGAGCGAAGACAAGACACUCUCAGGUGAACAGAAACAGGAGGACUUGGAUGUCAACAAACUGAAGCAAGAGGAGGAGGAACAAUGGGAGCAGGGGGAACAAGGGGAGCAGGAGAAGCAGGGGGAACAAAAGGUGUGGACUGGAGAUUCAGCAGAUGAGAGAUCUUACUCCAACUCGGAGGGUGGAGACAGCCACAGCGACGAGAGGCUUUAGGCAGCCUGUGAAGCAUGCUGGGACUGCAUUUCUGCAACUGUUGUUGAGUUUUUUGUCUGAAUGUGUGAAUUCCUUAAAGAUACAUCAUGGGGGGAAUUCAAAUGAUUUACUUUCAUGUUUUUUAUUUGGUUACACAUUACCGUUUGGUUUACUUCUUUCUAUUUAGUCACUUUGUUAGUGUCUGUUUGCCUUUAUGUAUCUACAUUAUUGUGAUCAGCCAAAGAUCUCCUUUGUCUUUUGUCUGCUUUGUCAACUUUGGGCACUUUAUCUUAUCUCGGCCUUAAAAAAAAGUCAAGUUGUUUAAUUUUAUGUUGCAUUUAGUUUAGUUUUUGAUCUUUUUGUAAAUUGUUUUUCACAUUUUGGGGGUAGAGUAAAACUUACAUGUGCCCUUCACGCUGCAUAAGCAGAAAAGGAAUCCGGUGCAUGUCCUCAAACGAUGUCACUUGAGUCUGCAUGGCACAGGCGGAAGAAUGGAAGUUUUAAAAUAAACAAGGAAGUUAGAGAAGCGUGAGCUUGUUAGGCAUAUUCUUAUAAUAAUCAGAAGACUGGGGAUAUAUGCUUGAACCCAAAUUAGCUGAUAAAAGCAGAAUGUUUAAAAAAAUCUUCAUUUUGACAUGAUGGCAUCAAACAGCCGCUGCAGAUUUGUCUGCUGCACAUCCAUGAUGUGAAUCUCCUGUUCCACCACAUCCCAAAGAUUCUCCAUUGGGCUGAUACCUGGUGAUUUAGGUACUCGGUCAUGUUUAGGGAACCAGUUUGAGAUGAUUUGAGCCAUCAGACAAUGGGUACAGUGUGGUCGUAUAAGGAUGGAUGUGGUCAGCAGCCAUACUCAGUUUUCUGUUGUCCAGUUUUGGUUUGGUGACAGAAGAGGCACCCAGUGUGGUCUUCUGCUGCUGUAGUCCAUCUGCUUCUAAGUUGGACCUGUUUUGCAUUUAAAGAUGCUCUCCUGCAUACCUUGGUUGUAAUGAGUGGUUAUUUGAGUUACUGUUACCUUCCAAUAAGAUCAAAGCAGUCGAGCUAUUCUCCUCUGAUCUCUGGCAUCAACAAGGUGUUUUCACCACUACUGGACAUUUUCUGUUUUUCUGACCAUUUUCUGUAAACCUGAGAGAUGCAUGUGUGGGAAAGUACCAUCACUUCAGUAGUUUCCGAAAUGCUCAGACCAGCCUGUCUGGCACCAACAACAUUCAAAGUCAUUUAAAUCUGUCUCCCUUCUGAUGACCAGUUUGAACUUUUGCAGGUUGUGCACCUGCCUAAAUGCAUGGCAUUGCUGCAAUAUGAUUGGCUAAUUAGACGUGUGUUUAAAAGUGCUGAGCGGGUGUACCUAAUAAAGUGACCUGUUAGCAUAUGUGUAAUAUAUAUAUAUAGAUAGAUAUAGAUAGAUAGAUAGAUAUACACACACAACACAUACAUACAUACAC